rnacentral:rRNA from 1 species
GUGUAACAAGGUCUCCGUUGGUGAACCAGCGGAGGGAUCAUUAC